rnacentral:rRNA from 1 species
AAGCGUUGUUCGGAUUCACUGGGCGUAAAGGGUGCGUAGGUGGUUGGGUAAGUCUGAUGUGAAAUCUCACAGCUUAACUGUGAAACUGCAUUGGAUACUAUCCAACUCGAGGAAUGGAGGGGAGACUGGAAUACUUGGUGUAGCAGUGAAAUGCGUAGAUAUCAAGUGGAACACCAGUGGCGAAGGCGGCGUUCUGGACUGCAACUGACACUGAGGAACGAAAGCCAGGGGAGCAAACGGG